GUGCCAGAGAAGCACCGGAGCAGAGGCUAGAAGGCACAUCUUGCAACCAACUCCAGCCCUGGAGAAGCUAUGGCAGAGCCCUCCUGUAUUCUGAUAACAAACUUCUGUGGCCUAACAUAUGUCGUCUGCACCCCAGCCCUUGCUAGGAGUGAAUGAUGCUUCUUUGUGCGGCAGGAGGACUCGUAUGUCACCGCCCGGAGAAGCGGAGCGGAGCGAUUGGCUGGCUUGACUUUGCGUUUCCCGAAGUGUACGAGCGAGGACGCGGGGCUAAGUAGUGGAUUGCCGUGUGCUAUAUUUAGAAAGCAGCUGGAAGAGGAAAUGUCCUCAGGAAUCCAGACUGUUUUGUUGUGAAUGUCCCUCCAGUCCCAGCACUGUAAAAGUAAACGCUCGUUCUUCAGGAGUGCCAGCGCUUUGCACUAUCUUGGAGCGCUGGGGAAGGAGGGGUUAGAGGAGCCCCUCUUAAUCCUGCCGUGCUUCCCGGCGCAGGCGUUGGAGCUGUCAGGGCAGGGUUAGAGGUGCCGGGAUGCUGCCCAGCAGCGCGCGUGUGGCUGCCUGACCCCCGCCCGGGGGCGGG